rnacentral:rRNA from 1 species
CCUACGGGAUGCUGCAGUGGGGAAUAUUGCGCAAUGGGCGAAAGCCUGACGCAGCGACGCCGCGUGAGGGAUGAAGGUCUUCGGAUCGUAAACCUCUGUCAGCAGGGAAGAACGGUCACUGUGCUAAUCAGCAGUGAAUUGACGGUACCUGCAAAGGAAGCACCGGCUAACUCCGUGCCAGCAGCCGCGGUAAUACGGAGGGUGCGAGCGUUAAUCGGAAUUACUGGGCGUAAAGCGCUCGUAGGCGGUAUGUCAAGUCAAGGGUGAAAUCCCCGCGCUCACCGUGGGAACUGCCGUUGAAACUGGCAAACUGGAGUGUGUGAGAGGAUAGUGGAAUGCCAGGUGUAGGAGUGAAAUGCGUAGAUAUCGGGAAGAACAUCGGUGGCGAAGGCGACUAUCUGGCACAUAACUGACGCUGAGGAGCGAAAGCGUGGGUAGCGAACAGGAUUAGAUACCCGGGUAGUC